rnacentral:rRNA from 1 species
UACAGAGGGUGCAAGCGUUAAUCGGAUUUACUGGGCGUAAAGCGAGUGUAGGUGGUUUGCUAAGUCAGGUGUGAAAUCCCAGGGCUCAACCCUGGAACUGCAUUUGAUACUGGCAGGCUUGAGUGUGGUAGAGGAUAGUGGAAUUCCCGGUGUAGCGGUGAAAUUCGUAGAUAUCGAGAGGAACACCGGUGGCGAAGGCGGCCUUCUGGACAGUGACUGACGCUGAGACGCGAAAGCGUGGGGAGCAAACAGG